GUUAUUUCUCUAUGCUUUUCAACAAACCGCUUUGUCGAGGGGUUAGUUAAGAAUGGGUCACGGUCGCAGUCGCAGUCGGGGGUCAUGGCGGGAUGAAUGAAAACAAAGGUCAUCAUCAUAGUGCUCUCUUUCCAAGCAUGCCGUUCCUAAAUUUCUAAACAAAAUCUUGUUCAUACUUUUUGCAUUGUAACUUUUUAGGAAUCGUCAACCAAUCCAUUACAAAGUUAAAGUACACAUUAGUACCACUAUUUGUUAACGCGACGGAUGCACGACGUAUGCGCUGCUCCAAGAAACGAAGAUUUUUCGACUUUUAAUCACCAAUGCCCAUUCAACAAGUCAUCAAUUACAUUUUUAAAGUAGCCACCAACUACAUGUAACUUCACAACACUUUCCAAGGAAAAGGUUGUCGUCUUGGACGGUGUUGGUGGGUGGUAAAAACAAAUGGUGCCGUGGGUGAUUUCAUAUGGUGACGGAGUAAGUAGCCCAAAAAACGUCAACAAAGAAGUAGAAGAAUCUUUGAAAGCAGUGAAAUCCAAAAAAAAAAAAAA